rnacentral:rRNA from 1 species
GCAACUCGCCUGCACGAAGUCGGAUUGCUAGUAAUCGUAGGUCAGCAUACUACGGUGAAUACGUUCCCGGGCCUUGUACACACCGCCCGUCAAACCAUGAGAGUUGGCAACACCCGAAGUCGGUAGUCUAACCGCAAGGAGGACGCCGCCGAAGGUGGGGUUGAUGAUUAGGGUUAAGUCGUAACAAGGUAUC